rnacentral:rRNA from 1 species
ACUUAAAUUGAAGAGUUUGAUCAUGGCUCAGAUUGAACGCUGGCGGCAGGCCUAACACAUGCAAGUCGAACGGUAGCACAGAGAGCUUGCUCUCGGGUGACGAGUGGCGGACGGGUGAGUAAUGUCUGGGAAACUGCCUGAUGGAGGGGGAUAACUACUGGAAACGGUAGCUAAUACCGCAUAACGUCGCAAGACCAAAGAGGGGGACCUUCGGGCCUCUUGCCAUCAGAUGUGCCCAGAUGGGAUUAGCUAGUAGGUGGGGUAACGGCUCACCUAGGCGACGAUCCCUAGCUGGUCUGAGAGGAUGACCAGCCACACUGGAACUGAGACACGGUCCAGACUCCUACGGGAGGCAGCAGUGGGGAAUAUUGCACAAUGGGCGCAAGCCUGAUGCAGCCAUGCCGCGUGUAUGAAGAAGGCCUUCGGGUUGUAAAGUACUUUCAGCGGGGAGGAAGGCGAUAAGGUUAAUAACCUUGUCGAUUGACGUUACCCGCAGAAGAAGCACCGGCUAACUCCGUGCCAGCAGCCGCGGUAAUACGGAGGGUGCAAGCGUUAAUCGGAAUUACUGGGCGUAAAGCGCACGCAGGCGGUCUGUCAAGUCGGAUGUGAAAUCCCCGGGCUCAACCUGGGAACUGCAUUCGAAACUGGCAGGCUAGAGUCUUGUAGAGGGGGGUAGAAUUCCAGGUGUAGCGGUGAAAUGCGUAGAGAUCUGGAGGAAUACCGGUGGCGAAGGCGGCCCCCUGGACAAAGACUGACGCUCAGGUGCGAAAGCGUGGGGAGCAAACAGGAUUAGAUACCCUGGUAGUCCACGCCGUAAACGAUGUCGACUUGGAGGUUGUGCCCUUGAGGCGUGGCUUCCGGAGCUAACGCGUUAAGUCGACCGCCUGGGGAGUACGGCCGCAAGGUUAAAACUCAAAUGAAUUGACGGGGGCCCGCACAAGCGGUGGAGCAUGUGGUUUAAUUCGAUGCAACGCGAAGAACCUUACCUACUCUUGACAUCCAGAGAACUUAGCAGAGAUGCUUUGGUGCCUUCGGGAACUCUGAGACAGGUGCUGCAUGGCUGUCGUCAGCUCGUGUUGUGAAAUGUUGGGUUAAGUCCCGCAACGAGCGCAACCCUUAUCCUUUGUUGCCAGCGGUUAGGCCGGGAACUCAAAGGAGACUGCCAGUGAUAAACUGGAGGAAGGUGGGGAUGACGUCAAGUCAUCAUGGCCCUUACGAGUAGGGCUACACACGUGCUACAAUGGCGCAUACAAAGAGAAGCGACCUCGCGAGAGCAAGCGGACCUCAUAAAGUGCGUCGUAGUCCGGAUUGGAGUCUGCAACUCGACUCCAUGAAGUCGGAAUCGCUAGUAAUCGUAGAUCAGAAUGCUACGGUGAAUACGUUCCCGGGCCUUGUACACACCGCCCGUCACACCAUGGGAGUGGGUUGCAAAAGAAGUAGGUAGCUUAACCUUCGGGAGGGCGCUUACCACUUUGUGAUUCAUGACUGGGGUGAAGUCGUAACAAGGUAACCGUAGGGGAACCUGCGGUUGGAUCACCUCCUUACCUUAAAGAA